rnacentral:rRNA from 1 species
UGAGGAACAUGACCUUCGGCGGGGGAUAGCCGGCCCAACGGCCGGGUAAUACCGCGUACGACCACUUUGGGACAUCCCUCGGUGGUGAAAGCAGCAAUGCGCCGAUGGAGUGCCUCGCGGCCUAUCAGCUAGUUGGUGAGGUAACGGCUCACCAAGGCGACGACGGGUANCUGGUCUGAGAGGACGAUCAGCCACACGUGGGACUGAGACACGGCCCAGACCUCCGUAACGGGGAGCAG